AUGGAGGUUUGGGUUAUAUAGUUGGAUGUUAUGUAGGAAGAUGAUGCCAAACUCUGUUUUGUAACAGUGUUGUUGACUAAUGAAAUGCCUAUUUGCAAGAAUCCUUGGUAGUUAUUGUGUUUUUUAAGUGGUAGUCUGUAAUACCUCGGAUUUUGGAUUAAGCUUAAAAAUUUGAUUAAUGGAUGAUUUUUUUUUUUAUUUUGAGACUUUUAUAUCAUUUGGGGUCUUUAUCACUUGUUAGAAGAGUUGGGACAUUAAAGUGAUUUAAUUUUUAUUGGUGGAGGUUUUGUAAAUUAAAGAAAGAAUUGUUAGUGGAGAUACGUGUGGCAAUCUUAUAGGAAAACUUAAAUGAUGUGUCCUCACAAUCAGCCCACAUAAAGACACAGUAGUAAUCCGUGGCUUUUACAAUUCAAUUGUGUCCCUCACUUGGGGCAUGAAACAGAAACCAAGGUGUAGGAAAGGGAAAGAGGAAGAGAGGAUUAGAGAGAAGGAGGAGCAGAACCGAGAGAAUAAGAAGAGGGAGGUUCAGCCAUGGAAGAAAAUAAAGGGAAGAAAGGAUUAAGGAAGUGCUGGCCAGAUUUCCACCAGCCUCUCACUAUCACCUUAUGCAUGUUCAUUUCCAUCAUUAUCUCACCUUUUCUAGCAUGAUUGAGGUUGUAUUGAUCAUUGGAGAACAAUUGGGAGUGGCUGAAAAUUAUAGCAUUGGAGACCAUUUAGUUUUGUGUAUAAAGUGUUUGAGAAAAUGUUUGCAUGAAUUUAUUUGAGGAAUUGGAUGUAUUUGUGAUUUCAAGUGCCUAAUUUGUAUCUAAACCAUUCUAUGUUCACUUAGAGACUGGUUAUACCUAUCCUUCUAUUGUAGUUGUGAUGAAAUUUGUAUUUGGAGCUUAAGUAAGAAAACAAGGAUUUUGUAUUUUUGUGAAAAUUAAAUAAUUUCUCCAAGGAGCUGUAUUGCUCUAAAUGCUUUUAAAUUUUUACCAAAACUUCCUUUAUGUAUCUAGUACUUCUCCAUAAAAUUUCAUAAUUUUUAGAGUAGCAUAUAUUUUUAUAAAAAUUCGAGAUUAUCUACUGUCCAGAUUUUACACCUGCUGGAAAUAAGAAUUUAAAUAAAUUACUUCACCAACUUCUUGACACCGGAUCUUUAUCAAAACUUCCAGAUUUAUUCUUUCAUAAGCCUACUGUCAAAAUGAAUUUACUUUGUCAAUUUCGGAGGUCAAAUGAAUUUUCUAAAAAUUCUGAAGUAUCUGCUGCCCAGGUUUUCUUCAAACUAAGUAUUGCUGAUUUACUUCUCAAAUCUGAUUUAAUUGGAAAAUCUUUAGCAUCUGUGAGUUUCUCAGCUGUGUUUCACUUUGAAUCUAGUUUUCAAAUCAUUUUUGUUUGUUCCGUUUUGAUUUAAAACGAAUUUUCUACGAAUUUUUAAGUAGUUGUUGCGCAGAUUUUCCUCCUAACUCAGCACUCUUGUCCUGAUGAAUUUUGUUUUUUUUUUUUGUAUGAAAUUUGGAGUACCCAUUAUGUAGAUUUUGAGGUUGUUUGUGACGUGUUUUGGGACAAUGAAUGGACUAUGGAUUUUAAAUUGGA